rnacentral:misc_RNA from 1 species
GUUGAAGAACGUAGCGAAAUGCGAUACUUGGUGUGAAUUGCAGAAUCCCGUGAACCAUCGAGUCUUUGAACGCAAGUUGCGCCCGAAGCCAUCAGGUUGAGGGCACGUCUGCCUGGGCGUCACAUAUCGUUGCUCGAUGCCUAUCGCGUUGCGAUAGGACUUAGGGCGAAUGAUGGCUUCCCGUGAGCGUUGUUGCCUCGCGGUUGGUUGAAAAUCGAGUCCUUGGUAGGGUGUGCCAUGAUAGAUGGUGGUCGAGUUAGCACGAGACAGAUCAUGUGCAUGCUCCCCAAAAUAUGGCCUCUGUGACCCACACACGUCUUUUGACGCUCAUGACGAGACCUCAGGUCAGGCGGGGCUACCCGCUGAAUUUAAGCAUAUCAAUAAGCGGAGGA